rnacentral:lncRNA from 10 species
CAGGGCUCCCCGACUUCCCUAUGGCUGAUGUCAAAACGCCUCGCGGGGGCAGCCCAGGGGCACGGCCGCUCCGGGGGUCCCCUUUCGUCUGGAGAAACACAGAGGCCCACCAUCACCUGGCCGCGCCGUGCAGGCCUCUGCGCGGACCCCCGCCCCUGUCUCCACCUUCCCCAGGCCUGCGGGGCACGUGAGGCCUGGCCACACGGACCCGGGCGGAGGGCUGCGGGGGUGAAGGGAGCCCCCGCCCCAAUUCUGCACCCCUGGCCUCCCGCCUGCCUCCUUGCGGCCGAGCAGCCUCCGCUGCCUCCGCGCCUCCCGCCCGCCCGGCGUUCGUCCGCAGGCUCGGCCCGGCUCCUCCUCCCGACCCCGGUAAUACGAACCGCCGGCGGCUAACGCGGCCUCGCUCCCUCUCGCAAACCUCUCCCUCCUCCUCCUCCCCCUCGCCUCAGCUCCUCCUCUCGGGCGGGAGCGGGUAGCCAGGGGUGGAGUGGGGGAGGGCGGGGAACGCGGCCGCCCCGGCGCCGGCGGGACGUGGGGCGGGCAGCGGGCUGCAGGGCUGCGGGCGCUUGGUUCGGCCUGGCCCGGCCGGCGGCUCCUAACACCGGGCGGGCGGCUGCGGCGGCACUUCCGGGUUGGCCUUCUCCAUGUUGGUCUCGGGAACGUGAAGGGGCGGGGCCUCGAGGUCAGGGGUCAGCACCUCCCUGGUUGCCGUGGCGACUGGAGGCGCGCGACGCGGGCGCAAUGGCGGGGACCCGGGGCUUGAUGCUGCUUGGGCCUGGCCCAGUGGCGGGUCCUAGGGACGUGGGUACCUGCAGAGGCCGGCAGAUGGAGAUUCAGAAACAUAAGGACAACAAGAAACUUCCCCAAGGUAUCAUUAUAGUCUUUAGACUUCAGACACACACCACACCUCAAAUAUAUACACAACUGAAAGGAAAAUUAAGGAAGUUUUUCAAAGAACCCUAUUCCGAGUAAGAAGUGUGUUGCAUGAAUUUCUAAGAGCCAGAAAAUGCAUGACACAGGAGAAGAUGUACCCUCAUCUGUUCAGUGAGAGAUGUGCAAAUCAACAUCAACACAGAACUGCUGAAGAAAAAAAAUAUGUGUGUGGAUUAUAUAUAUACAUAUAAGUGUGUGUAUAUAUAUAUAUAUAUAUAUUUACAUAUAUAGUAUGGGCUAUUUCACCUUUGCAAGCUGGGAGCCAUUAAGUAAUGGCUACCACCACUCCCCCACCCCCUUCAGUAAAACACAUCCUGAACAUUGGGCCCAUGUUUUCAAGAAGAAUGUGCCCCACUGCCCCUUGGAAACUCCAUUUCAUUUACUUGGUUCAGUUAGUUAAUGACGGUCCAUUUUGACUCAAAUAUCCAGUUCCCUUUCAUCAAUCAUGUCUUUCUGGACUGUCAGUUUUAGGGCAAGGAUUACAAAGCCCUUCCAUGCAGAUAUCCACAGAGAAAGACCCAGACCCACAUCCCCAUUUAGGAUUGCUUAGGGACUCAUUUCUUCCGCUUCCUUCCAAAUGAAAAGAAUGAGCUAUGUGAAAGGGGAAAACCCCACUGGAAAAUGAAUGUUGGUGACUCAAGUGUUAAUCUAGAAAGUCUUAUGAUUUGGUGCUGGAAAAGGGCAUUGUAAUAAGAUGGUUCUUUAUACCAUGCAAACCAGGGGAAUACAAAACACUGUCAACCAUGAAAAUAAGAUUUAAUUUGGAAUCACAACACAUAGGGUUUUUUCCACUUUAAAUUCUUUUUAUUCAUUCAUAUUUGUUAUAAAUAUUCAAUAGAAAUGCAGUUUUUCAAGACUGAAAUGGUCUUUAAUGAAGCAAGCCAUGUGUGGCUUUUCAGGCGAGCAUUUUCAUGCUUGGUUAACUGUAAGGAUGUUCAUGUUCCUUUCCCAAAAAAUAUGAUUUGUGAUUCUGCUUAGGUCUCUGAAAAGCAACUUAUUCACUGGAGAUGUGAGGAGCCAUCCGCACAUCACAAUUCUAUAGACAUCAAACGCAUGAAGCAUUUCGGAUCUGCUUUAAGACUGAGGCAGACUUUCCAUCUGGACACAGCCGACCAUCCAUGUGUCAUUACAAUGAAUCCAGCACUUCCCUGGAAGCUGGAAGGGUCAAAUUCAACUUCAACUCUGCCACUUCCUGCUUAACUUGCUGUUUAACCUUGGGCAAGCUGCCAUCCCACACGAGGCCGAAGGUGUCGGUUUUUAAAAUACAGAAAUUUGGUUCCAUGAGGGAUUAUCAAUAUACUGCUGGUGGGCCAAAUUCCAUCUGCUACUUGCCUUUGUAAAUAAAGUUUUAUUGAAACACAAACAUGCCCAUUAGUUUACUCUUGUCUGUGACUACAAGGGCAAAGUUGAAUAGUUGUUACAGAGACCAUCAGGCUCACAAAGCCUAGGUUAUUUACUAUCUGCCCAUUUACAGAGUAAGUUUGCCAGCCCUGGACUGGAUAAUUUUUUGAGUUCUUUCUAAUUCUAGAAUUCUUUAUAUAUUUUAUGAAACCCCUAAUGUUUAUAUAUUAAUUAUUUCAAUACCCGUGUCUUUACUGAGUCCCUCCUAUGAAGCAUACAUCAAGACAUAUGUGUGAUACAUUAACUAAACUUUUAACAGUAUCUUAAAUAGGAUUUCAAUGACUAACAGCUCUUGGAAAUAUCCAAGGUAACAUUUGGGGGCAAAUGUCUUAUGAUUUGAUUAUCAUUGGUAAAUAGAGCAUAUCUUUUUUUCCACUAACAAUGUUUAAGAAGUUAAAAAAAAAUCAAGAAAACCCCGUAUGGCACUAGAGACUUAUUGCAUUAAGACAUCAUCUUAACAGAUUGUUUAGUUUUGGUAAUAUAAUUUGACAUCUAAACAUAAGCUGAGAGGGAUCUCCCUCAAAACCUUUGAUAAUAUGAUUCAUUGUCAAAUGUUUGUUUUGCCUAUCUGGCACUCAUUAAUUAAUUCUUUUUAAUAUAGCUUGGAUUUACUGAUUUUGAAAAAGAGAAUUAUUCUUAUUGAUGUUGCUAAAAUAUCCAGGUGGCUUGAAUUUCACCAACUAGAUAGUUUAAUCUAGCACAUUUGUGUAGCCCUAAUCAAAUCUUUACUAACAGAUGUGAGAAGCCCAGUACUGGAGCUAAUGUUUGUGUCUCAAUGAUAAUUAAAUUAGCUUAAUAAGGAAAAUAAAUGAACAAUAAUCACCAAAAUUUUUCCCUAAACCUGUGUUAUAGUCUUAAAAACAUUUUUUCCCCUAUGGAGGCUUUUGGUAAUAAAACACAAAUUGAGGGAUUUUAAUUAAAAGAAAUUUUUUUUUCAAGAACUGGUCAUGUACUAAAUUGCUUAUAAUCAAAUAAUCAAGUAGCAUUUCUUUUAUUAUAAGAGCAAAACCUAUAAUUAAGCCAAAAUUCAAAUUUGUUUUUAAAGGUUGAAUAAUCUUUUGUUUUGGCCAAUAGUAUGUGGAUUUUUUUUUUAAGUAUUAUCUCUUUGUAGUAUUUUCUAAUGGAUAGGAAAUGCCUUUCUCAGGUUGAAUGAUUAUUUCCACAUAGAAUUAGUUCCUGCUUACAACAGUGCUCCACUAAUGUAAUGGCUCGGUGAAUUGGCUUUAUAAUUCAUUAAUCAUAGCUCACAUUGAGCUUUUGGCUCCAGGUGACAGUGCCCACCACAGGCCAAAUAACUUCUCAUUUAAAGGCAAUUUGUACAAAUAGGGAAGGUGAGAAUUCUCACAGUCCCAGAGGGAUUGAAGAGUUUUAAAAAACCAAGAUAAGGCAUUUUAUGGAAGACAGGUUGAUGGAAGAAAAGUGGCCAUUGGAGGAUGAGGCAGAUGGCUUUCCAGGGAGGCCCUGGAGCUGCCACCAUGGGGAAGGCCAUGUUGCAGCUGCUGAUCAGAGCACAUUGGACGGUGUUUCCGUGUGAACAUGAAGACAAUGCUGCCUCUGUUUCUGUGACGCUGUGCUCUGAUCUUGCUGGAGGCGAAGUGGUGUCAGCUGUGCUUACAGGACAGUCAGUGGUGGUAGAAAAGAGGCCAGUGUGACCUGUGAAGGACUGGGCCCCUCUCACUCAACCUGAGUGCCUGCAGUUGUGGCCACCUUUAUUUGUGUAUUCUACUGUAUUUAUUUAUUUGCCUGGCUAAUUAGCUCUGUGCCACAUUCCUAAGCUAGAUGUGUCCCUUCAUGUAAGUGAGAGGGAGACAGAAAGAAAGACUGAGGUGGGGGGUAGGAGAAAGAGAGGAAAGCAAGCAAGAAGAAAGAGAAAGAGAGAAGAAGAAAGGAAGAGGAAAGAAAGAGAGAAAGAGAAAGAGAAGGAAGGAAGGAGAAAGAGAAGGAAAGAAGGAGCCUUCUAAUUUUAUUUCAUUUCUCCAAUAAAUGUUCCUAUAUUAAGACUUUAGACAAAGAUUAGAAAUAUGAUUUGACAGAAAGUGUAUGGAUGUGUUGUUCUAUUGCAUUGUAAGUAAAGUAUCCAUGGCAAUAUACAAAUAAUACAGCUCCUACCCCUAUUCUCUGUUGUUACUUUCAUGUGUUGUCUUAACUUUUUAAAUUUCAAGAUAAUAUUGCGCUUAUUUAUUUUUCCAUGAGGAGGCCUAGGAUUUAGCUUGAUUAGAAAAGCUGUGGAAAAUGAAUGUGCUAAUUACUUUAAAUCAAAUUGAAAAUAAAUUUUAUCCUGUUUCAUGCAAAACAUAGUGUAUUUGACUGUUAGUUCAUUCAACUAAUAAAACCAAUUAUGUCUAUAAGUGAUUGGGCACUUAAUAAGCCAGCCCCUGUCCUAAUGCUUUCUUUAUCUCAUAUAAUUCACAUCAUGAAGCGAUGGGAAGAUCUCAAGUGACCCAUUAGCCAGAAGAGGAAAUCAAGCCUGCUAUCAAGACUAAUGCUGGGAGAAUUUCUCCAGGGCACUUAGGUGCUUCUUUUGCAGGAAAAUUUAAGAUCCAUGCCUCCUGCCACACAAGCAUUGGAAGAGAUCAAAGGCCACCCCUGGAAGCUCAAGAGGGAAGGACCAGGAGAGUCCAUGGGGGGCAUGGGCAAAUAUCAAAACCUACGUUUUCUACUAAGUAAAUACCUCCGAUUCACAUCUCACUGGUUCUGGGGAAGCAGAGCGACCACUCUGUAUAAAACAGCAAACUGAGAAAGAGAUCGAUAGGUCAUCAAAGCCACCUGCUUGCUUGGUGGCCCCUCAAGUUGUCUUCUGCUCAGAAGUUCUGAGAGUUGAUGAAAGUUAUCAUCGAAAGUACCCAGUCCAGCUCAGGCCAGUCCAUAUUGCUGCCAAGUAAACUAUUUUUAAAGUUCUUGGGGUUUUGAAAAAUAUUCUGACUGGUGGCUGGGCAUGGUGGCUCACACCUGCAAUCCCAGCACUUUGGGAGGCCAAGGCAGGCAGAUCACCUGAGGUCACGAGUUUGAGAUCAGCCUGGCCUACACAGUGAAACCCCAUCUCUACUAAAAAUACAAAAAUUAGGCAGGUGUGGUGGCACACGCCUGUAAUCCCAGCUACUUGGGAGGCUGAGGCAGGAGAACCACUUGAACCCAGGAGGUGGAGGAUGCAGUGAGCCAAGAUCACGUCACUGCACUCCAGCCUGGGUGACAGAGCGAAACUCCAUCUCAGAGAAAAAAAAGAAAAGAAAAAAGAAAAAUAUUUGACUGGAGGGUUAGCUGUAUUCCUUACUUUCUCUUUAUUCCCACCCCACCACUCCAAAAAACACUGGCUCAGUGACCAGGCCGCUGAUAGCACAAUGUGCUUUCUCACAUGGAGAGGAGGCGAAGCUUCAGCAUGUGAAUUGUAUUCUCCACAACAUAUGGUGGAGAAAACAGACAGUGGGAAGGGGAGUGAUUUGUGACUGUUCAUCCCAAACUGCGUUCUAUUGUGUUGCCAAAAAUGAUAGACUUAAAUAAAU